AUUGAACGCUGGCGGCAGGCCUAACACAUGCAAGUCGAGCGAGUGGCGGACGGGUGAGUAAUGUCUGGGAAACUGCCUGAUGGAGGGGGAUAACUACUGGAAACGGUAGCUAAUACCGCAUACCAUCAGAUGUGCCCAGAUGGGAUUAGCUUGUUGGUGGGGUAACGGCUCACCAAGGCGACGAUCCCUAGCUGGUCUGAGAGGAUGACCAGCCACACUGGAACGGAGACACGGUCCAGACUCCUACGGGAGGCAGCAUUGGGGGAUAGUGCGCAAUGGGCGCAAGCCGGAAGCAGCCAUGCCGCGGGUAGGAAGAAGGCCUUCGGGUUGUAAAGUACUUUCAGUCGGGAGGCGUUACCCGCAGAAGAAGCACGGGCUAACUCCGUGCGAGCAGCCGCGGUAAUAC
rnacentral:rRNA from 1 species